GAUGAACGCUGGCGGCGUGCCUAAUACAUGCAAGUCGAGCGAAUGGAUUAAGAGCCUGCUCUUAUGAAGUUAGCGGCGGACGGGUGAGUAACACGUGGGUAACCUGCCCAUAAGACUGGGAUAACUCCGGGAAACCGGGGCUAAUACCGGAUAACAUUUUGAACCGCAUGGUUCGAAAUUGAAAGGCGGCUUCGGCUGUCACUUAUGGAUGGACCCGCGUCGCAUUAGCUAGUUGGUGAGGUAACGGCUCACCAAGGCAACGAUGCGUAGCCGACCUGGGAGGGUGAUCGGCCACACUGGGACUGAGACACGGCCCAGACUACUACGGGAGGCAGCAGUAGGGAAUCUUCCGCAAUGGACGAAAGUCUGACGGAGCAAUGCCGCGUGAGUGAUGAAGGCUUUCGGGUCGUAAAACUCUGUUGUUAGGGAAGAACAAGUGCUAGUUGAAUAAGCUGGCACCUUGACGGUACCUAACCAGAAAGCCACGGCUAACUACGUGCCAGCCGCCGCAGUAA
rnacentral:rRNA from 1 species